UGGGGAAUUUUGGACAAUGGGCGCAAGCCUGAUCCAGCAAUGCCGCGUGCAGGAUGAAGGCCUUCGGGUUGUAAACUGCUUUUGUACGGAACGAAACGGUUCUCUUUAAUAAAGGGGGCUAAUGACGGUACCGUAAGAAUAAGCACCGGCUAACUACGUGCCAGCAGCCGCGGUAAUACGUAGGGUGCGAGCGUUAAUCGGAAUUACUGGGCGUAAAGCGUGCGCAGGCGGUUUUGUAAGACAGAUGUGAAAUCCCCGGGCUCAACCUGGGACCUGCAUUUGUGACUGCAAGGCUAGAGUACGGUAGAGGGGGAUGGAAUUCCGCGUGUAGCAGUGAAAUGCGUAGAUAUGCGGAGGAACACCGAUGGCGAAGGCAAUCCCCUGGACCUGUACUGACGCUCAUGCACGAAAGCGUGGGGAGCAAACA
rnacentral:rRNA from 1 species